GGCGGCGUGCCUAACACAUGCAAGUCGAACGAGAAAGUGGUAGCAAUACCAUGAGUAAAGUGGCGCACGGGUGAGUAACACGUGACUAACCUACCCUGNANUGGGGGAUAACUGAGGGAAACCUUAGNUAAUACCGCAUAAUACCUACGGGUCAAAGGAGCAAUUCGCUNCAGGAGGGGGUCGCGGCCGAUUAUUUAGUUGGCGGGGUAAUGGCCCACCAAGACAGUGAUCGGUAUCCGGCCUGAGAGGGCGCACGGACACACUGGAACUGAAACACGGUCCACACUCCUACGGGAGGCAGCAGUGGGGAAUUCUGCGCAAUGGGGGAAACCCUGACGCAGCAACGCCGCGUGGAGGAUGAAGUCCCUCGGGACGUAAACUCCUUUCGAUCGGGACGAUUAUGACGGUACCGGAAGAAGAACCCCGGCUAACUUCGUGCCAGCAGCCGCGGUAAUACGAAGGGGGCGAGCGUUGUUCCGGAAUUAUUGGGCGUAAA
rnacentral:rRNA from 1 species